ACAUUAGAAUUACUGCACUGGGCAGACUAAGUUGGAUCUCCUCUCUUCAGUGAAACCCUCAAUUCCAUCAAAAACUAAAGGGAUGUGGAGAGUGCGGAAAAGGGGCUACUUUGGGAUUUGGUCCUUCCCCUUAAUAAUCGCCGCUGUCUGUGCGCAGAGUGUCAAUGACCCUAGUAAUAUGUCGCUGGUUAAAGAGACGGUGGAUAGACUCCUGAAAGGCUAUGACAUUCGUCUGAGACCAGAUUUUGGAGGUCCCCCCGUGGCUGUGGGGAUGAACAUUGACAUUGCCAGCAUCGAUAUGGUUUCAGAAGUCAAUAUGGAUUAUACCUUGACAAUGUACUUUCAACAAGCCUGGAGAGAUAAGAGGCUGUCCUAUAAUGUAAUACCUUUAAACUUGACUCUGGACAACAGAGUGGCAGACCAGCUCUGGGUGCCUGAUACCUAUUUCCUGAACGAUAAGAAGUCAUUUGUGCACGGAGUGACUGUUAAGAACCGCAUGAUUCGCCUGCAUCCUGAUGGCACUGUCCUUUAUGGACUCAGGUCUGUUGUCCCCAAUUCAAAAUAUAACUUUUCCUGAACAAAAUAGCUGUUACUUUUCAUUGGAUGGAAAUAUUGUGCUAUUUUCCUUAUCGUUCCUCAAUUCUACUAAGAAACAGUUAAGCCUCCUAUCCACUAGACAUUUGAGAGCUUAAGGUAGCAUAGUUACAAAGGGACUUAACCUCAGCUAAGACUACAUUUUUCUGAAUUAUCUUCCAAUAUCAGCUGCUGAUCCUAAAGCUGCUUUCUUUAAGGACUAGGGAUAAACAAUAUCAAAAUAGCUGAGACAUAGGGUUUCUUUAAAAUGCAAAAACUUUGUGAAUGCCAAAUAAUUGUUUGAAUAUGGGAGAUGCUGUGUUUUAUAAAUUGCUUCUGAGCUGCCUUGACGGGAUCAUGGCCCUCUGAUGAUGAGAAAGCUUAUUGUGACCUCUUACCUUCCAAGGAGCAAUCAGACUUGCAAAUAAAUAAAGCAGUCAUCUCAUGUUUAUUAAU
rnacentral:sRNA from 1 species